UGAACGCUAGCGGCAGGCUUCAUACAUGCAAGUCGAGGGGCAGCAUAAAUUACUUGUAAUUUGAUGGCGACCGGCGAACGGGUGCGUAACGCGUAUGCAACUUACCUUUUACUAGAGAAUAGCCAAGAGAAAUUUUGAUUAAUGCUCUAUACACUUAUUAAUUCACAUGAAUCUAUAAGAAAAGCUCCGGCGGUAAAAGAUGGGCAUGCGUCCUAUUAGCUUGUAGGUGAGGUAAUGGCUCACCUAAGCUCCGAUAGGUAGGGGUCCUGAGAGGGAGAUCCCCCACACUGGUACUGAGACACGGACCAGACUUCUACGGAAGGCAGCAGUAAGGAAUAUUGGACAAUGGAGGCAACUCUGAUCCAGCCAUGCCGCGUGAAGGAAGACGGCCUUAUGGGUUGUAAACUUCUUUUGUACAGGAAGAAACCUUUCCACGUGUGGAAAGCUGACGGUACUGUAAGAAUAAGGAUCG
rnacentral:rRNA from 1 species